rnacentral:rRNA from 1 species
UACGGGGGGGGCAAGCGUUGUUCGGAAUUACUGGGCGUAAAGGGCUCGUAGGCGGCCAACUAAGUCGGACGUGAAAUCCCUCGGCUUAACCGGGGAACGGCGUCCGAUACUGGAUGGCUUGAGUUUGGGAGAGGGAUGCGGAAUUCCAGGUGUAGCGGUGAAAUGCGUAGAUAUCAGGAAGAACACCCGUGGCUAAGGCGGUUCUCUAGUACGGUACUGACGCUGAGACGCGAAAGCGUGGGGAGCGAACAGG